CUCAGUUCGGAUUGGAGUCUGCAACCCGACUCCAUGGAGCUGGAUUCGCUAGUAAUCGCGCAUCAGCCACGGCGCGGUGAAUACGUUCCCGGGCCUUGUACACACCGCCCGUCAAGCCAUGGAAGCCGGGGGUGCCUGAAGUGCGCUGCCGCAAGGAGCGCCCUAGGGUAAAACCGGUGACUGGGGCUAAGUCGUAACAAGGUAGC
rnacentral:rRNA from 1 species